UACGAGGGGGCAAGCGUUGUUCGGAUUAUUGGGCGUAAAGGGUGCGUAGGCGGUUUGGCAAGUCUUGUGUGAAAUCUUCGGGCUCAACCCGAAGCCUGCAUAAGAAACUGCCGGGCUUGAGUAUGGGAGAGGUGAGUGGAAUUCCGGUGUAGCUGGUGAAAUGCGUAGAUAUCGGAAGGAACACCUGUGGCGAAAGCGGCUCACUGGACCAUAACUGACGCUGAGGCACGAAAGCUAGGGGAGCAAACAGG
rnacentral:rRNA from 1 species